AUCAUGUCCGCAUAUAUACCGCGCGCCUCCCAGCACACAACGCGGAAGAUUAAUACUUUGUCGUGUCGUGUCGUUUCGCGCUGGAUUAUCCGCUUCCAGUCCCUCGUCAUAGUUUGUUUCCUUUUUUGUUUAUCGACCCUGUUUUCCGUGACCACGACCUAGAUUCCUGCCUUGCCCCGCGUAUGCCUGUUUACCAAUCGCCUGACCUCUUGCAUGUCUAUGGAUUACGUUUUGGAUCACGUUUUGGAUUUGUCUGCCUGUCUCUCUUUCAAAUAAACAACUGUUCAUCCUGCACUUGCAUCCGUCCUAUCUCUGCUCCGUCACGAUUCGUGACAGAACUGAGUAAUUUCUGUUCUAAUUGCUGCAGUCAGGGCUGUGUGGCACCUAUCUGCGUACUCUGCCAGCUUCUCUGUUUUUUCAUCCAUGGAGGAAGGCUGGAAAACACCUGUGGACAAACCAUGCUGAGCUCAGCAAUGGGUGCAGUUCGAGAUAUGGUGUCUCUGUCCAUAGCCAGAUUCUCAAAAGCCCUCUUAAUUGAACAAAAUUUGUUGUAGUACUUCGGGGCCUUCUUGUAUCGAUUUAUUACACUUGUUACAGUCUUCACUGCAAAAUGUAAAAAAGAACCAUGUAAGUAAG
ensembl:lncRNA